rnacentral:rRNA from 1 species
UACGGGGGGGGUAAGCGUUGUUCGGAAUUACUGGGCGUAAAGGGCUCGUAGGCGGCCAACUAAGUCAGACGUGAAAUCCCUCAGCUUAACUGGGGAACUGCGUCUGAUACUGGAUGGCUUGGAUUCGGGAGAGGAAUGCGGAAUUCCAGGUGUAGCGGUGAAAUGCGUAGAUAUCGGGAGGAACACCUAUGGCGAAGGCAGCUCGCUGGGACGUUACUGACGCUGAGACGCGAAAGCGUGGGGAGCAAACAGG